rnacentral:rRNA from 1 species
GGCUUUUAGUAAAAAUUUAAAAGUCGGACCUGCCCAAUGGUGGGACUGAAUGGCCGCAGUAUUCCUGACUGUGCAAAGGUAGCAAAAUCAUUUGCCUUAUAAUUCAAGGCUUGUAUGAACGGUUUGUCAAGAUUUUGACUGUCUCUCUAAGUUGUUGUGAAGUUAAACUCUGAGUGCAAAUGCUUAGAUAGCGCUGUUGGACGAGAAGACCCUAUAGAGCUUUGUAUAAAAAUAUACUUAAUUGGGGCAAUUAGCCAACUUAAACUUGGUUUUAAACACACGCUAAUAAGCGUGAACUUUGAGCUUUAAUACUUUAAAGAUUAAGUUACCUUAGGGAUAACAGCGUUAUGAUAAGAAACUAGUUCUUAUGGUUUCUUGCGAUUACGACCUCGAUGUUGAAUUAGAAUUUCCUAUAAUAGAAAAAACCUAUAAGGUAGGUCUGUUCGACCUUUAAAAUUCU